rnacentral:lncRNA from 1 species
GCGGCCGCGGGUGCUGCCGGGGGGCGCGGCGGGCGCAGCAGAGCGGCGGGCGGCGGCGGCGUCGUCGAGCGACAAUACAAGCGCCUCGGACCGAGUCCCCGAACCUGCCCUAGCCAAAAUGGCGGCCGAGAAAGAGCGGAAGUGACGUUAAAGAGGCUUUUGUAUACUGGAGAUAUAACCAAAAAAGGUCUAAGGUGACUUUACGCAGAGAUUGAAGGAUGAGCAGCAGAUGGUCAUCAAGGAGCAUGGAAACAGCAUUUCAGGCAAAGGAAAAUGGAACUCUGUGAACUCAGAAGCAUGCUAUGGCAUGGAAAGCAAAAAGGAAGGAGCACAAGGCAGAGGUCAGAAAGGGAGGCAGGGGCCAACAAACACAUAGGGGCUUGAGGGACAAGGGAAGGAACUUGGAUUUUUCCCUAGAUGUUAGUGGGAACUCCCUGAACUCCCUGAACUGGAGGGACAAUAAUCUGAUUCUGUUUUUAUGUAUCUAGCUUAAACUCAGAACAGCUUCCAAAAUCUUAUUCACAGAGGUUUUGUGGUCUUUUGGGCUAAGAAUUUAAUUAUAUUGCCUACAAACAAAUAUAACUGUGUAUAUUUUACUAACAUUUAACUAAAUUCUUAUCUUACUGUAUUAACAUUUCCAUGUUUAAUGAUAGCUAGCAUGCCUGUAUUAAUGCAUGUAUUGGAAAUGAUUCAGCAUUUCACUAUUUGGUGUGGUAUUUGUAUUAGGACUGGGUUAUUUUUAUUAUGCUUAAGAGGUUUCCUUCUAUUCUUAAAGUUUUAACUAGAAAAUGGUAGUAAAUAAUAUCUCCUUUAGCAUCUACAGACUUAACCACACUACUUUGUUAACAUAAUGAAUGAAUUAUAAGUGAUUACCAAUAAUGAGCCAUUCUGGCAUUCCUGGAAUAAACCCUUUUGUUCACGGUGAAAAAAAAAAAAAAA